AGGUCCAGCAACAACGCACCCAAGCACUCCAAGGCAGCGAGCAGCUCCCUUCGUUUCCCUUCACACACGCACGCAUACGCCGUGAAGCACGGCCACUCGCCCGAUCUUUUGCCUGCGCUGUAUCGAAUUUCUGCUGGGCACAAAGCUGCCAGCCUCCCCCCACCACCAAUUCCCGGGUGCCCGAAUAGAGGGUGUGUGAGCGCCAGUGUGUGUGCGGAGAGACUUCGAGGAAGAAAGCACGGGCGGGCGGGGGUGCACAGUAGCCGCCUGUUAUCACCGCCGAUUGUUUGCAGCGGCGCCACCGACGGAAAGCACUCGCGCAGACCUUAGUGCCCUAGAACGCCGCGCCCGCUCGCCCUUGUCACCUCCUUGCUGCAUUGCCUUCCAGCUCAGGAGCAGAAUAACGAUAUCAUGAGUCUUGCGUCGUCGUCGUCGUCUUUCCCGCCGAUCGCGCUCGCGACUCAGCGCCUCCGCACCUUUGCGGCCCAGGAGGAGCAGGCGCAUGAGCUCACUACUUCGACGGCGCUGGAGGAGUGGGCAACGCAGUGCUUCGAAGCCGAAACUGAGCGCAUCAACCGCGAGCUGGUGCAGAGGCGCGAGCAGGCAUCUGCGACGUUCCUACCCGCGCUUUACAUGCGAGGUCGCGACCCGGCCGCCGACGAGACAACACGGCUUCUGCACAGCACCUGCAAAGCCUUCGAGUUGGACAUGCGCUUCAAGGAGAUCGAAAAGCUGGACGAGAUGCACGCACAUUUGUGGACGCUGCUGAGUGCAGGGGAUCGCACCAGCAUCAGCAUGGAAGCGUACGAGCAGCUGCUGCACGACUUCAAUGAGUGGGCAGCGGAACACUAUGAAGCGCAGCUGCCACCGCCGCCGAGCACCGUCUGGGAUGUGUCGGAGGAUGAGGACGAGUGCAUCCUAUCCAGGAGAGAGGGAAAGAAGGACAACCACGAGAGAAGCGGAGGCGGUAAUUCGUCUCCCUCGAUGUCCCCGCUGCAGCCCCCUGUGUCGCUGGCCCAACCUCUCUCCGCAAGCACGCCACCGGUCUUGACCGCUACGAUAGCAGCGCCCAACGACGCUCCAGGCAGCAGCGGCACACAGGGCGCGAGCUGGGACGCUGUCUUGCAGCACGUCAAGCGCUAUCGCGACCAGCAGCGCAGCGAUACUCCUGCCUCUGCACGCUCCCUUAUGCGGAGCCACGCCCACUUUGAGCAUCUGCUCCGCCUUGCAGAGGAUCAGCCGGCGCUCGGCAACGUGCUCUACCUCUGCUCGGUGCCGCCGCCGCGGCCGGACGUGCAACUCUUCCUUUCCUGCCCUCGCAACGCCGAGCGCGCGGUCGAAAUCGCCGCCAUCUACCAGACCUUUGCGAAGCAGGUGUCCCUUGUCAAGUGCGAGGCGGAGCUUAUUAUGUGGGACAGCAACAACGAUGGGCGGCUCUCGGAGGAUGAGGUGGAGAACUACGUGCGCGAUCUGGCGCCCCGGAUCGCCGCGCUGCAGGCGAUGGGCAAGGACAUGCUCCCCUUCUACUGCUGCACAGUGAGUCGCCGGCUCUUCUGGGACCUCGACCCCGGCAAUCGCGGCGUGCUACGCAUCCACUCCCUGCUACACAGCGGUGUCAUGGAUGAGUGGGUUAGCCUGCAGCUCAUGACGGAAGACGACCCGCAGAACUGGUUCGGUGCUCUCGUUACGCAGCAGCUCUACAACAAAUUCGUGCUGUUGGACACCCGCAACACGGGUACGCUCAAUGUAGAGAACCUGCGUGGGUACAAAAAAGGUUUGCCGACCGUACUCGACGACGGUCUGCCGCCGGACGUCAGUCCACUCUGCUCCCUCUUUAUCGAUCGCUACUUCGAGACGAACACGCUCAUGACACGGUCUGAGAUGGACUACCGCAAAUUUGUAGACUUUGUAAUAGCCGUGGAGCUGCUGCCGCAGUGCAGCCGGCCGUACUUCUUCUGGAACAUUCUUGACAUGGAAGGGACGGGCGUGUUGACGCCGAUGAUCGUCAACCAGUUCUUUCGCGAAACGCACGCGAAGCUAGUAGCCGCCGGGUUGGACGUGCCCUCGCGCGAGACGGUUGUGCAGGAGGUGUUCGACCUGAUCGAGAAGGCCGAGUCGCUGCUCAUCACGCGCGACGAGUUUGUGCGGUCUCCGCAGGCGGGAUUGUUUGUGGCACUCUUGAUUGACUGCCUCUCGUUCUGGACCUACGAAAACCGCGAGCAGCGCUGACUGAGGAGGGGAGGCCGCUAACUAGUUUCACUGGAUGUCGGCAAUGACCCUGGCCACCAUCACCACUCUGUCGCCGCUGUCUCGAUGCUGUUAGCCCCGUGCAGCGAUCUCAAAAGCACAGGCUCAUUUUUCUCGCCUUUUUUUCGCGGGCUGUGUGGCUUGGACCCGCUCCUCGCCUCUCUUCCACCAAAACACACACACGCGCGCGCGCGCAUUCACGGGAUAGGAUGGAGCCGCGAAAGCGUUGAGAAGAGGAGGGAAAGCCAAGGGGGAACACGCAAAAUACUGUGCUUUCUGUUGGCGGGGUUUUCGGCUCCUCUCUUCCCUGAGCGUUGAUGUCAUGGUGAGCAGCCGCAAAAUUGAGUGUACGCGUCUCUAUCCAUGUGCGUGCGCACAGGAGUGCGGAGAUACGGAAUUAAAGUGGGCCACGCGGACUGGGACUCGUGUGCGUCUACCUCCUCCCUCCCUCCCAACUCAUCACCCCCGCAUUUUUGUGUACCAUGUUAAAGUGCGUCCUCGACGCACACACGUGAACUUAUCGUCGUCUCGAAUGGCAAUAAAGUGCCCCACCGUUCCUCCUCUCCGAAACGACUCUCUCUGUCCCUGUCCCUGUCUCUUCCGCUGCGUGUGUAUGUGUGUAUGUGUGUGUGUGUGUGUGUUUUGUCUUUUUGCCGGCCCCGGAAG
rnacentral:misc_RNA from 1 species